UUAACAGUUAAAAUUUAGAGCUCAAAGCGGUCAAAUAAAUUGAAUUUAGUGUUUCUUGAACUUAUGUAUUGUGCGUAUAGGUAAACUGUAAGAAACUGUAAACAGUGAAAUAACCUGUUAAACUGCAAGUCACGCGAAAAUUCCUUUCGAAGUAGUUAAUAAACAUAUUAAAUAUUAGCCUACAUAAACACUGUAGCUGUUAUGGAUAAGGACUGCAUUAAUGAUCCUGCAAAAUUACAUUCCCUUGAUUAUACGGAACUGAUUUCAAAACAAAAUAUAAAUAUUAGAACUGAAAAUAAGAUUCCAGAAGAGGUUUUGAUUGAAUCUGGUUCCCAAUCCCCAUCAGUUUCACAACAACAAAAGCAGAGUCAAACAGUCACUAGCGAAUCGGAUAAUCACUGCAAUGAAUCAGAGAAUGAAUGCGUUAAAAAUGCAAAUUCGAUUAUUAUGGAGCACAUAUUCAAUAAUCCAUUGAUUAAUAAUGCAACAAGUUUGACAUUGAAGUCUGAAAAUAUAUUACGUCAACAACAGUAUCGUGAAUUAUUUCAGCAGUGGUCGAAACUGGACGUGGACCUGACACGUGGGCAAUCCUCGUGGAAUCACAAUCGUGAUACAUUAUUGACUCGUAUUUACAGCAAUAAUUGCUCUUCACAACAUCAAAAUCUAUUGGCAACUCAGUUGAUGUAUGCACAAUUUCUGCAGCAACCGCAACAACAACGCCAUGAAGUGAUGGGAAGAGAUCUUAGGUUUCAUUUGUUUGAGUUCCCUGGAUUGGAAAAAACGUCAAUAGAAACUGAAUCGUCGUCAUCAUCGUCGAAAAUUACGCAGGACAACAACAACAACUUUAGAACUCUUAGUGAUAUUGCUGCUGACGAUAGCUUUCAAAGUGAUCGAAAAGAAGAGAACAUUAAUCAUAUCCUCGAUGAUCAGAGAGAAAAGUAUUCGAAAAGUCCAAUAGGAAAACAAACGUUCAUUGACUCCAGGAGUAACUUUUUUCGGGAGCAAAAGAAUAUCCUUUUUGAUAUUAAGAAGGGCUUGGAAAAGUGGGCAUUGCUUUGCAAAAAAUUUCAAUUAAAUCUAAGCGCGUCCCGACAAGCAUUUAGAUCCCCGUACGAUGCUAACGAUCAUGACGUUGACGAUGAACAACGAAAAUUACAAGAUUCAAGCACAGCACUUGAACUUACUGUCCAAAUGCAAUUAAAGAGUAAUCGGAAAAAAAUUGAUAAUAUGAUAUUGCAAGUGCGAAGGCUUUAUCAGCAGUGGAGCAGCGCAGAACUUUACUAUAUACGAAGCUUGCAACGUCUUGGACUUUCACCAGAUAUUGAAAAUGGUUCCUGCUAUGUAGAUCGAGCAAACCCACGUCAGCUUACACAUGACACGAUGGCACUAGCAGCAAUUGCUCUAUCUGCUGAAUGUGAUAGACGGGAAGUGAAGCACGAAAAUUUUUGGAAUCCGUCGGCAUCCCACACGCAAGAUCCCGAUAUACAUUCACGCAGCUUGCACGACAUUGAAAAUAUCAUACUGGCACAAGCCGCAACGGUGCUCAAUCAAAAAACCUCUUGCAAUGAUCAAGGUGAAAAUACUGAUAGUAAUAGCGAUGAAGAGGCGACGCCUCUGUGUAUUUGGCAUCCUAGCUCUAUAUCUGAUCAACGCUCAGAACCAAUUCAACUUGGCUGCAGUACUGCUGCGGAAAUUGUGUUGGAAUUCGCAUCAAAAUCUCGAUUGCAGAAUACCAUGAUAAGUGAAACAAAUGCUCCUGUUCAAAAUCCAAAAGAUGGCAUGACAAAGAAUUGUCCGGUUUUAAACUUAUCGCCAAUAACUGCUCAUGCACUUAAACCAGAAAACAUUGUUCCUUGUAUUAACGAUCCCAGUUACUUGGUGGACAUUCAAUUCCCUCCAACGCCAUCGACGCCACCGACCAGUAGUAACAGUAGUUGCUCAACGGGUCCGCUUGGUGCAUCUUCUACUUCAAACAACAGUGGAUAUCAUAAUCGCCGGAAAUCGCGAUUUGCGCGUCGCAUUGAUAUACCUGCAACAUUAUUACCAAAUAUCAGCGCAACGAAUAAUAAGAAGGUAUUUCAAGACGUGGUCGUUUCAAUUGCCAAUCUGCCGGUGUGUUCAAAAACUUCAGCCGCUACUCGAACAAGCAUCGCCACUUCCUCCUCAACAGUAGCAACUGUAUCUACAUUUCAAGACCGCACGCUUUCUAAUGUGUUAAAGACUCAAUAUAACUCCUUGACGACGGCUAAUGAGAGUAAAAUUACAAAUGGAAAUACUCCAGCUGGAAUUUGUACUACUAAAGCCGGUGCUCCUAGCAAUAAUUGUGAAGGUAUCACUGUAUUUGACGUCCCUUACGAUUUGAGCAUUGGAAGCCGUCUACAAAAAAUAAACUUGGAUACCAAAAGCUCAUCAAAUUCGCAGUCAAAUGACUGUAAAGAUAGUUCGAAUGAUAAGAAGAAACCACAUAUUAAAAAACCUUUAAAUGCAUUUAUGCUCUACAUGAAAGAGAUGCGUGCCAAAGUAGUUGCCGAAUGUACACUGAAAGAGUCAGCAGCUAUCAAUCAGAUUUUAGGAAGACGGUGGCACGAACUGUCCCGCGAAGAACAAAGCAAAUAUUACGAAAAGGCGCGCCAAGAGCGUCAAUUGCAUAUGGAGUUGUAUCCGGGGUGGAGCGCACGAGAUAACUACGGUUACGUGUCAAAAAAGAAAAAGCGUAAAAAAGACAGAUCGACUGCGGAUUCGGGAGGUAACAAUAUGAAAAAGUGUCGAGCUCGAUUUGGUCUGGAUCAGCAAAAUCAAUGGUGCAAGCCCUGCAGUUUUUCUACGUUUUUUAAAGUCCCGUUUCGGGGUUUCCAUCUGCACGAACCGAAAAAUAUGGGCAACGGUAAAUUUCUCAAUAUGGCCGCUCUGAAAUAUCAGCUGUUCAAAUGUAAACACGAGUUGGCGAACAAUUCAAAAAUCAGCACGCGGAUUUUAAAAUGGAAUUUUCUUAAAUUGCAAGAUUUUGAUGUGGAUUUUGACGAAAUGGUUGAUAAAUUAACCGAGUAUAGGCCUUUGCCACUAUUAAAGAAAUCGCCAUCAGUUUGGGCCUAUGAACGGCAUGGGUGUUUUUGGGAGCGCGAUGUUCCUGGAAGCAGCGAAUCGUUUUUUAUAGAACAUUUCCGAAUGAAUAGGGAGGAGUUUGGCAUCCUUGUAGAGCGCCUUUGUGGAUUGGCCAAAAAAGACACAGAAUUUCGAAGGGCCAUUCCUCUUGAUAAGCGGAUUGCAAUCGCAUUAUACACUUUGGGAUCGUCUGCGGAGUAUCGGACAGUGGGCACGUUGUUUGGUGUGUCUACAGCAAUGGUCUGCAAAAUAUUCUUAGAAUUUUGCCAUGAGACAUGUAGAGUUCUGUCAACCGACUACCUCCCGCAUAAGUUCCUCACGCAAUCCAAAUUGGAGGAAUGUGUCAAAGGCUUCGAAGAAUUAGGCUUCCCACAGUGCUUAGGCGCGAUUGAUGGCUGUCAUAUUGAAAUUCAUCCACGUGCAGCAGAUGCAGCUGACUAUUUCAAUUACAAAGGCUGGUACUCAACUAUAUUGUUUGCAAUGGUUGAUGCUCGAUACAGAUUUCUUUAUAUAAACGUUGGAGGCCCAGGACGCUGUCAUGACUCCCAAAUUUUUGAGCGAAGUAGGCUACGUCAAUUAUUGGAUGAGUCGACACUAUUAAAGAAUAACUCGCGCAAUAUUUCGGGAGUUGAUGUGCCUGUUGUGAUGAUUGGUGAUUCGGCUUUUAAAUUUUCCACUCAAGUGAUGAAGCCAUAUGCUUUUUCAAAUACUGAAAAUGAAUCUAUGAAGGCUUUUUUAUUAUACUUUGGCCAAAUCACGCAGGGUGGUCGAAAAUGCUUUCGGCCAUUUAAAAGCACGAUUUCGGCGAGUUGGAAAAGGCCUCGAUAACCAUAUCAAUAAAACGGCUGUUGUUAUUACAGCGUGUUGCAUCUUGCAUAAUUUCACGAAACGUGAAAACAUCGAUAUGCCGGAAAUUUUGGAACCUAGUCCCGAAGAACCACAUCAGCCUGAAGACGACUACGAAACAAUUGAUUUCGAUAGCGACGCUGAACUAAUUCGUUCAGCAAUUUCAUCAUACAUUAUAAACAAUAAAUAACUGAAAUAUAAAGAAUUUGUAUGUAACGCAUUUAUUUCAAAUUUUUAGUAUUUCAGUAUAGUAUUUACAAAAGCAUAUUUAACAAAAUAAUAUUAACAUAAUCAUAAUAACAACAUAAAAGUAUUUAACAAAAUAAUAAUAUAAAAUUAUUUAACAAAAUAUUUACAAAAUAAUAAUAGUGCUUCACACAAACAAAAAUUGCCGCACUUCAUUACUAGUAAUUUCAAAAAGUCAAAAAAUGUAAUUUUCAAUAUUAAUCUAUUCACUCUGUUAAAUAGAGCUUUUUUCCUCUCCACUGCUACGACAAAUCGCUCCAUUAAUUGAUUUCGAACGUUGAUACCGCGCUCCAGAAUAUCGGUCCGCCUGUUUGCGUCCUCGACCAUCAGACGCUCGAACUCACUCAUUGGUCGGCCUAUUCGUCUUUUUUUGCAGGCGGCCCAGCAUGUGUAGCUGAACCGUGUGACUCGAAUGAUUUAUAUUCGGGUGAUUCUAACAUCAUUCUUUUUUGACUUGAUGAAGGUAGUAAUGUGCCAGAUGAGCUUUCUUCAAAUAUUACGCUAUUUGCGUUGGUCGGUGCUUCAAGCACAAUAUUUUGCGGUAGUGGCUGACUUAGCACAGUACUACCUUCAUCAUCAACUCCAAAAAGGAUGAUGUUAGAAUCACCCGAAUAUAAAUCAUUCGAGUCACACGGUUCAGCUAGCACAGGACUGGACUGCCUGCGCCGACGAUUUGAAAUAGACGACAUGAAUCUAUCCCACUUCCCUUCAUCGGGAUCUAAAAAUAACAAUUUAAGACUUACUAUUGAUGGUUGAGGGCUUUGAAAUCAUAGCUUACCCAAGCUAUCGAGGAUGCAUUCUCCAAAAUUGAUCGACUUCACCGCUGACAAGAUUCUGUGGACCUUGGCAAAAUGUUGCAACUGCGAUGGCGCACCGCCAGUUGGACCUCGCUUCUUAAUUUCAUUUCUUUUUUAUAAAUAUACAUCCGUUAUUACUCAACUCAAUAAAUAUGAUUUAUACAACUUACUUAUAUUUUUUGGUCACAUUGUCUAUCUUGGUCCUUACAUCCUUCCACUCUACAUUGAAGCCUGCCGCCAAUAACUUCUCACACAUACGUUUGAAUAUGUGCGUGUUUUUUUGGGCAGACCUCAAUGCCGUCAAAUUCUCCUCCCACAACUCGAACAACAUAGCCUCGUGGAUGCCACUCCACGAUAUUGACGGCUUGCGAGUUUUUUUCUCAUCUAAAAUAUAAAAAAUUUGCUUUAAAAAGCAAAAUAAAAUUUUUAUUUUCUAUUUUCAUACCUUGGCGCACUUUAAUGUCAGCUGUUUUGUUAGUGUGAGCUCUUUUUCGUUGUCAUAUCGAUCAAAAUAUCGCAUAAUUACCCAAAAAGUGCGUUCGCUAUUUCUACGUAGCUCGCGAACGUAGAAAAACCGACUUUUUUUUCUUAUGGGUUUUUACAUGGGGCGAACGUAACAUUCGGCCUGAACGUAAAAAAACUAAAGAAAACCGUGCGGUGGAAAUAGGCUAUAAAUGUUGUCCGCUACGUUGCUAGGGAUAAGAAACAAUGUUCCUAAACAAUAUAGUAUUAGAGUAAUUGAUGCUUCUUAUAAGCUCGGUUUAGGUACAAUUGGAUCCUAUAUAGCUACAAUUUAGAUUUAAGUAUUGGACAGAUCAGAUUUAGAUUAGGCAUUAAAGUGUGUUUGACUAGACUUAGUAAUACAUAAUUAAUCUAAAUUUUGUUUUACAAGUUUUAUUAUUAUUUUUUUUUCUCUCUUUUUUUUAUUUUUAUAUUUAUGUACAUGUUUAAUAUGUCUUACAUUUUCAGUUCUAAUAAAAAUAUUGCAACUCUGCCGCUAACUUUUGUCAGUGUAAUUAAUUCAGUGGGCAAUUUGACAGUUAAAUAGUAUGGUAAACGAGACUGCAUGUGUAGUCAGUGUUAGGGCGGGGGGAUAUAAUUUAAUUUGAUUAGUUUAAAUUUGCGCGUUAAAGUGUGCCGAAGUUAAAUAGUGUAAAGUUGUUUUAUUAUGUUGGUGGUAUGGGAGAAUAAAAGUGUGAUACAUUUGAUUUUAGUUUAUUUAAUUGGCAGUUGGCACUAGUCCCUGUAACAAAUAUUAUUUUGUGGCUGUGGUAGUCUGUUUCCACGGCAGCGUCAGUGGAAAAAUUAGUGGAAUAGCCUGUUUUCACUGCAAUGGCAGUGAAAAAAGCUAAAAGAUACGCUUGCUGUUGUGCUGUGUAGUUAUCGAUAAGAAUUGGAGGUUGGCACAUGGAGCAAAAUUGAUGAAAAAUGUAAUCAAAGGCACAGAGUAAGUAGAAGUGAGCAGUGUGAGUGCGAGUGAGGCAGGGCAAGAGGCACAUGGGCCCAUUGGUUAGGCGACUCGGGGGGUCGGAAGAGCAUGCAACGAGCGCAGGCUCAGGAUGGUGUGUUCGAAGUUCGAACAGUUGACCCGAGGAGGAGUUAGAUUAUAUGCUGUAUAACGAGACAAUGAUUGGACUGCACUGUCACAUACGCAUAGACAUCUGCAUGAGACCACUCACAACAUACGUCUCAUUGAAUACAUUCGAAUGGAAUUGAAUGGAAUGAGUGGAAUGCAAGAAAUGAAUCGACAUUGUAUCAGUAUGAGUUCGCGUUUUGCUUACUUGCUUGGGACGUUGAACGAAAUGAAAGAGAACGAAUGAAGCGAAAAGGGAAAUGACAAAUUUGGCACUGCGUAGUGUAUUCGAGUAAUUCGAGUUGUUACGUGCAUUCUUUUUUCUGAGGCCUGCAGUUCAAAGACGCAUUCAUGGACACCUUAUUAAUAAAAGAAGCGGACGAAUCUUUUAAUUUUAUUUACAGUUGCAACUUGAAUCGUUCGAAUUCAGCGUCUCAGUUUUCUGAGUUCUCACUUCAUUCAAUUCGUUUCUCUUUCUCUAUUCUUUGUGCGACUGAGUCGUACGUAAGCGAGUCAACUCACUCACUUCAGUUUGGCUUUGCUUUCAAAUUCACUCAACUCAUUUUGAGCAUUGUGCAUUUGAAUGUGAUUUUUUGCCACUCAUGCAGAUGUCUAAUACGCAAGGUGGUAUGUUGGAGCGGUAGGCCAGAGAAGGCGUAGGAUAUCAUGCUGAGUAAACGAGCAGUGAGUGGACAAAACGCUAUAAUAAUUGGCGGCCGGCGUGUGGGCUUGUCAAUGCAACUGAUUGAAAGCACUUGUAAAUUAUUUAAGUAAAUAAAUGAGAAGAAUGACUAGAAA